CUACUGGUACCUUGUUUCCCAUGUAACAAUAAGAAAUAUACUCAAAACCUGUAUUAAUCUUUUAGUCACAUAGUACUACUAUUAUUCUGAACACUACUGUAUGUGCUGCUGCUGAAACUGAUGUCAACUUAUCAUAUGACCUGCUGGAGCCUGAUGGAAGCCCCGCCCUGAAACACGUCAGUUUUAUUGUUCCGCAAAUGUUGACAAAUAUACUUGUUCAAAUCUCCGCCCACUUCAGCUGUCAAAGAUGAGUGAUGUUUUAUUUCUGGUUCAUGUCCUAAAUGCAUGUUGUCUUCUCCUCUGCUCUUCAGCUGUGAAUGUUCUGCAGUGGGAGUAGCCUCUGCACGUGGCCAAUCCUUUGCGUCCUGGCCUCCAAAAGGCUCAUCACAUGCUGAACACCCAGAAUGUAGACAUCAACAUGGAUGAGCGAGAUGACCCGUGGAGAUGAGACAGUGAGGACAAAACUCUGAAGAAGACAACCAUCUGGUUUCUCCAGUCCUGUUCAGGGAGCUUCCAGUGAGCCGGGUGUCUUCAAGAAUCAGAAGCGGUGAAGCAGAGGUCAGAGCUUGUGGAGCACAGGAGUGCAGAAGAAAAGGACGACGACGUUAAAAUGGGACAAAAGCUGUUUGAAUGUGAAAUAUGGGUUAGUUUUUGUUUGAAUUAAUAAAUUGAUCGUCCUGCU